UACGGGGGGGGCAAGCGUUGUUCGGAAUUACUGGGCGUAAAGGGCUCGUAGGCGGCCAACUAAGUUGGAUGUGAAAUCCCCAAGCUUAACUUGGGAACUGCAUCCGAUACUGGAUGGCUUGAAUCCGGGAGAGGGAUGCAGAAUUCCAGGUGUAGCGGUGAAAUGCGUAGAUAUCUGGAGGAAUACCGGUGGCGAAGGCGGCAUCCUGGACCGGCAUUGACGCUGAGGAGCGAAAGCUAGGGGAGCAAACGGG
rnacentral:rRNA from 1 species